ensembl:lncRNA
AGGGAGAUUAUCGGGGUGGGUCUGACCUAAUCAAAUAAGCCCUUUAAACCUAGGUCUAGAAGUCAGACACAGAGGAAGUCAGAGCAAUUCAAAGUGAGAACGGCAUUUGACAAGAGAGAAAUACUCAAUGCUGGUGUGGAAGAAGGUGGGCGUGGUGUAGUAAGGAAUGUGGGCAGUCUCUAGCCGUGGAGAGCGGCCCAAGGCUGACAGCCAGCAAGGAAAAGGGGGUCUCACUCCUACAACCAGAAGGAACUGAAUUCUGCCAACAAUCUUAAUGAGCUUGGAAGCAGAUUCUUCCCCAGAACCUCCGGAUGAGAACUUAGCCUGCCCAACACCUGAUUUCAGACUUUGAGGCCCUAAACAGACAGACCACCGCCCCCCCCCCAAUCCCUAUCAGCAAUCCAGGAAGGAGUGAAGCAGGGAACUCUGGUGGGGAUAGCUUAAUGCCAGCAAAUGGCCUCACUGUGGCCCAAAACCAGGUGCUGAAUUUGAUUACUGUGUGCCCAAGACCUGAAGGAUUGAACUUUCAGGAUCUCGAGAACCAGCUCCAGCACAUGACUGUAGCAUCAAUCAAGCAAGCUGUGGAUUUUCUUAGCAAGGAGGGACACAUCUAUUCCACUGUGGAUGAUGACCAUUUGAAAGCCACAAAUGCAGAACAGCUGGAUCUAAUUGAGUAUGUAAGAUAUUUUUCAGCUGGACUUACCUAUUUUCACAAUCUGUUCUCUCCAGCUCUGCAUGUUGGCCAAUUGACUUCUAGGAAGUGCAUUUCGUCUAUAACAGGUUUCAAUUGACAUCCUUUUGAGACUUAAAAAAGUUGGUUGUGUUGUCCCCCCACUACAUGACUUCUGGUAUGUGCAGGGAGUAAGAGCAGGUCUUGAUGGAGGGGCAGGGAGCAGAUGGGUCGGGAUGCCCUGAGAGUCAGGGACAGCUCAGAGAAGGCAAAAUCAGGCCCGAAGCGCUGCUGCGUGUCCACUCUACCCAGAGGAAGCUCGAUGUAGCUGGAGUUCUGCGGGGGUGGGACUGGAGUCCUGGAAUGAGAAACACCUGGUGCUCCAGGUGCCGGUGGUCGCUCAUCUCAGACUCGUCCAUAAAGAGUCUGGCUCAUGCUACCUAUCAAGCAAACCCCAAUCCUGUCAACGCCUCGCCUGCCCCACUUACAGUCACAGUGGGGGAGCUUCUCGCCCCAGGCUCUGAUCCACAAGCUGUGCAGGGGCGAGCCCACCUGGCCAGAACAGGGGGAGGCACUGUGCAUGCCCGGGCCUCAAAUCUCCAGCGUUCCCGAAGCCAAAGAUUCCAGGGCAGCAACUUGGCCUUCCGCUGUGAGGCAUCUAGAAUUCAUCCCUGGGAGACCAUCACUGCCUGUUCCUCUAGCCGGCCCCCUGGAGAACAGCCUCAGGACAUUGGUCUUUCUGAGCCAGCCCAACUACCAGCACUGCACUGGGGGAGCUGGCCCCUUCACUCAAGUCUCUGUCAGGAAAUGUUCUCUGUUGAACACCAUUCAUCCGUUGAUGGACCUCUAGGUUGCUUCUGUGUCUUCGCCAUUGUAAAUUAUGCUGCAGUGAACACGGGGGUGCAGAUAUCUCUUUGGGAUAGUGAUUUCAUUUUCUUCGGAUAAAUACCCAGCAGUGGGAUGGCUGGGUCAUAUGCUCCACACUCACCAAGAGAGGAACCCAGUGUAUUUGAUUACAGAUCCAGCAGGUUGGCUAACACAGAUGGGCAUCUACACUGCUGAGUGAAUUUAAGGAUGAACUAUUUGUGACAAAUGGUGCUUCAUGUCCUCUUACUUGAGGACUAGUUAUUGUUUAUUCAUGAAAAUAUAUAUAUAAUGGGUUGUAUUUGCUUGGCUAUAUAAAAGAGUGAGAUUUUUUCUUUUGUCUUUUCAAUAUCUUGGCAGAUUCCCUGUGAGGCAUGUUACAUUCUGGUUUAAUGCUUAUUGAAUAAUAAAAUUUUCUUUCUCUUCCACCUUUGUGGAGAGGUUUUCUGGGUUGGGAGGAGAUUUUGUUUUUAAUUAUUUCUCCUUAAAACCAUGUGAAAUAGAUAAUCAUAUUUCUAGAGAUUUAGAACUUUAUUAAAUAUUAAUUAUAUGGCUUAUAUUAAUCAAAAAGAAAGGCCUCUGAGACAUUUCAAGAUCAACAAAUUUGUUAGUCAGUUUUACUAAUUUUUUUUAAAAAUCUUCCUUUAAUAAAUUCUUUUAAAAAAUAUUUUAAUGUGAUGUAUAUAUUUUUUGGUGUGUCCUAGUAAUUAUAUACAAUCUGAGAAUAGGAUCUCUGUUUAUGCUUUAAUAAAUAACCCAAGAACCUA